UACGUAGGGUGCAAGCGUUGUCCGGAAUUAUUGGGCGUAAAGAGCUCGUAGGCGGUUUGUCGCGUCUGCUGUGAAAACCCGAGGCUCAACCUCGGGCCUGCAGUGGGUACGGGCAGACUAGAGUGCGGUAGGGGAGAUUGGAAUUCCUGGUGUAGCGGUGGAAUGCGCAGAUAUCAGGAGGAACACCAAUGGCGAAGGCAGCUCUCUGGUACGUGACUGACGCUGAGACACGAAAGCGUGGGGAGCAAACAGG
rnacentral:rRNA from 1 species